UACGUAGGUGGCAAGCGUUGUCCGGAUUUACUGGGUGUAAAGGGCGUGUAGCCGGGCUGACAAGUCAGAUGUGAAAUCCGGGGGCUCAACCCCCGAACUGCAUUUGAAACUGUUGGUCUUGAGUAUCGGAGAGGCAGGCGGAAUUCCUAGUGUAGCGGUGAAAUGCGUAGAUACUAGGAGGAACACCAGUGGCGAAGGCGGCCUGCUGGACGACAACUGACGGUGAGGCGCGAAAGCGUGGGGAGCAAACAGG
rnacentral:rRNA from 1 species